rnacentral:rRNA from 1 species
GACGAACGCUGGCGGCGUGCCUAAUACAUGCCAGUUGAGCGCUGAAGGUUGGUACUUGUACCAACUGGAUGAGCAGCGAACGGGUGAGUAACGCGUGGGGAAUCUGCCUUUGAGCGGGGGACAACAUUUGGAAACGAAUGCUAAUACCGCAUAAAAACUUUAAACACAAGUUUUAAGUUUGAAAGAUGCAAUUGCAUCACUCAAAGAUGAUCCCGCGUUGUAUUAGCUAGUUGGUGAGGUAAAGGCUCACCAAGGCGAUGAUACAUAGCCGACCUGAGAGGGUGAUCGGCCACAUUGGGACUGAGACACGGCCCAAACUCCUACGGGAGGCAGCAGUAGGGAAUCUUCGGCAAUGGACGAAAGUCUGACCGAGCAACGCCGCGGGAGUGAAGAAGGGUUUCGGAUCGUAAAACUCUGUUGGUAGAGAAGAACGUUGGUGAGAGUGGAAAGCUCAUCAAGUGACGGUAACUACCCAGAAAGGGACGGCUAACUACGUG